GGCAAGCAGCCCUGAGACAGGC
rnacentral:misc_RNA from 1 species